GUGGCAGAUGGUGUGGUCAGAGUAUUGUGAGAUUAAUUACUGCCGUUUUUUUAGAGAUCUAAUUAACAGUAAGGAAGAAGUGGAGGGAACGGUAAUGAGGAAGGGUGAGACUGGUGGCUGGUGGGGGAUCUGACAGUGGGACACACAAUAUUUUAUCCCUCUUUCUGUAAUUCUCACUUAACAUGUUCUAUUUGUGUUGCUCUGUUUUACCCAUAUUUCAUUUCCUCUUUCAUUGCUACAUUUUACUGACCUUCCCGCUUCUCUUACUCCCCCACUUCUCUUUU